rnacentral:rRNA from 1 species
GAUGAACGCUGGCGGCGUGCCUAAUACAUGCCAGUCGAGCGAACAGACGAGGAGCUUGCUCCUCUGACGUUAGCGGCGGACGGGUGAGUAACACGUGGAUAACCUACCUAUAAGACUGGGAUAACUUCGGGAAACCGGAGCUAAUACCGGAUGAUAUUUUGAACCGCAUGGUUCAAAAGUGAAAGACGGUCUUGCUGUCACUUAUAGAUGGAUCCGCGCCGCAUUAGCUAGUUGGUAAGGUAACGGUUUACCAAGGCAACGAUGCGUAGCCGACCUGAGAGGGUGAUCGGCCACACUGGAACUGAGACACGGUCCAGACUCCUACGGGAGGCAGCAGUAGGGAAUCUUCCGCAAUGGGCGAAAGCCUGACGGAGCAACGCCGCGUGAGUGAUGAAGGUCUUCGGAUCGUAAAACUCUGUUAUUAGGGAAGAACAAAUGUGUAAGUAACUAUGCACGUCUUGACGGUACCUAAUCAGAAAGCCACGGCUAACUACGUG